rnacentral:rRNA from 1 species
CCCUUAGAUGUUCUGGGCCGCACACGCGCUACACUGAAGGAGGCAGCGUGUACUCCUGGAUCGAAAGAUUUGGGUAACCCGCGAAUCUCCUUCGUGCUAGGGAUUGAGGUUUGCAAUUAUCCUUCAUGAACGAGGAAUUCCCAGUAAGUGCAAGUCAUAAGCUUGCGCUGACUACGUCCCUGCCCUUUGUACACACCGCCCGUCGCUACUACCGAUUGAAUGAUUUAGUGAGGACUUCGGACUGGGACCGAUGCGGCUUUCGGGCUGCGUCGGUAUUCUGGAAGAUGUCCAAACUGUAUCAUUUAGAGGAAGUAAAAGUCGUAACA